GCUUAGAGUUUGAUCCUGGCUCAGAACGAACGCUGGCGGCAGGCUUAACACAUGCAAGUCGAGCGCCCCGCAAGGGGAGCGGCAGACGGGUGAGUAACGCGUGGGAACAUACCCUUUGGUUCGGAAUAACUCAGGGAAACUUGAGCUAAUACCGGAUACGUCCGUAAGGAGAAAGAUUUAUCGCCAAAGGAUUGGCCCGCGUCCGAUUAGCUAGUUGGUGAGGUAACGGCUCACCAAGGCUACGAUCGGUAGCUGGUCUGAGAGGAUGAUCAGCCACAUUGGGACUGAGACACGGCCCAAACUCCUACGGGAGGCAGCAGUGGGGAAUAUUGGACAAUGGGCGCAAGCCUGAUCCAGCCAUACCGCGUGAGUGAAGAAGGCCUUCGGGUUGUAAAGCUCUUUCGGCAGGAAAGAAAUCGUGCAGGCUAAUAUCCUGUAUGGAUGACGGUACCUGAAGAAGAAGCACCGGCUAACUACGUGCCAGCAGCCGCGGUAAUACGUAGGGUGCGAGCGUUAAUCGGAAUUACUGGGCGUAAAGCGUGCGCAGGCGGUUCCGUAAGACAGAUGUGAAAUCCCCGGGCUUAACCUGGGAACUGCAUUUGUGACUGCGAGACUAGAGUGUAGCAGAGGGGGGUAGAAUUCCACGUGUAGCAGUGAAAUGCGUAGAUAUGUGGAGGAAUACCGAUGGCGAAGGCAGCCCCCUGGGCUAACACUGACGCUCAUGCACGAAAGCGUGGGGAGCAAACAGGAUUAGAUACCCUGGUAGUCCACGCCCUUAACGAUGUCAACUAGGUGGUGGGGGAAGGAGACUUCUUUAGUACCGCAGCUAACGCGCUAAGUUGACCGCCUGGGGGAGUACGGUCGCAAGAUUAAAACUCAAAGGAAUUGACGGGGACCCGCACAAGCGGUGGAUUAUGUGGAUUAAUUCGAUGCAACGCGAAAAACCUUACCUACCCUUGACAUGCCAGGAAGAUUUCAGAGAUGAGAUUGUGCCCGAAAGGGAACCUGGACACAGGUGCUGCAUGGCUGUCGUCAGCUCGUGUCGUGAGAUGUUGGGUUAAGUCCCGCAACGAGCGCAACCCUUGUCAUUAAUUGCCAUCAUUCAGUUGGGCACUUUAAUGAGACUGCCGGUGAUAAACCGGAGGAAGGUGGGGAUGACGUCAAGUCCUCAUGGCCCUUAUGGGUAGGGCUUCACACGUAAUACAAUGGUCGGUACAGAGGGUUGCCAACCCGCGAGGGGGAGCCAAUCCCAGAAAGCCGAUCGUAGUCCGGAUUGUAGUCUGCAACUCGACUACAUGAAGUCGGAAUCGCUAGUAAUCGCGGAUCAGCAUGUCGCGGUGAAUACGUUCCCGGGUCUUGUACACACCGCCCGUCACACCAUGGGAGUGGAAUCUGGCAGAAGUAGGUAGCCUAACCGCAAGGAGGGCGCUUACCACGCUGGGUUUCAUGACUGGGGUGAAGUCGUAACAAGGUAACCGUAAAGC
rnacentral:rRNA from 1 species